GCAGGGCUGCCAGUGAGUCAGCAGAAUGAGGAAGGGGGAGGAGUCAGCACAGUGCAGGCAAGAAGACAUGUCCACUCCCUUUGGAAGGAUGAUAAAAGCAGUGAGCAGCCAUUUUUGGGGAAAUAUCGGUGAUAGAUACAUAAAAAUUAUAUGGACAUGAUCAGGAUGAGGUACUGAGUAACAUAACGGUUUAAACAGAGAAGGAACUGGGGGGUCCCCCCUGAUCAUCUAUGGAACAAUCCCCCUCUCAGAGGGAGGUUAUUGGACUUAUUGACCCCUAAAUCAGCGGAUCCGGCACCAUGGAUGAGCUGAUGUUUGCCGAUGGAGUAUAUCCGGAUUUUUCCCUGCUGAAAGAAGUCCUUCUGCCCCCUUAUUUCGAGUCAGACCCCUGUUCAACAAGGGGGGAUGUGCAGAGUGAGGAGAUCAUACUUUUGGCACAAUCGCAGUACCGAGAGCAGCCACCAGAUGCCGCUGUGGGAUUGAAUGAUUCUGGGAUCUCAGUGCGAAGCAAGGACUCAUCGCCGCAGUACUGCAGACGAACCAGGAGAGGGGGCAAGAAACGCAGUAUAAAGAACAGGUCCUCUUCAGUACCAAGAAACCACACCAAAAAAUCUCAAAAAUUUGGGCACAAAAUGUCAUGUGUGACGGAAAUUCCAGAACCCAGUAUUAUUUAUUUACUGGAAGAAAGCAUGAAUAAUCUACCAAAAAGGGACAAUAAUUUUGAAGAUGACCAAGUGAACAGUUGCUCCAAGAAUGGGGAACACGUAAGGACGGACUCUGUAAGGAAUGGUCGUAGGAUGACUCCAUGCUCCUCCUCUAUGACUAGCGAUGCCAUGGAGCUCUUAAAUCUGAUUAAUAUGCAAUGCAGCCACUUAAAUAAGUUAGGAGGAGAUCCUCUAAGGAUCGAAGAAAUAGAUCACAAGCAGAGGAAUGGUGAUGGUCAUCCUAAAAUGGUGAAAAGUAAGAUUUCUAAUUCUGAUGAUCUUUCUUCGACUUCCUCCAAUAAACCACAUAAGGUCCAAGGCUCAGAACGGGGAAGUCCCGUUAUACAUGGUGGCCUAGUGUCUGGAGAUUGCAACUUGAGUACUUCAGGAGAAGUAUCUUCUGUGGAGAGAGAGGAAGACCAAUCCGGAGAAUGUUCUUUACUAAAUACAUCCACAGGUAGUGAGGUUUGUGUUAGAAAGACCCCCCGAAAGCAACAGACACCGAUGAAGGGAGUGGAAAAACAGGAUCCCGCCUUCCAGGGCAUUGAGUUUCAGAUGCACCUUUGUUUUGAGAAGGAGAAAUGUGACGACUGUCAGCUCAUCAUGACUUCAUUUUACAGCCGGACAAGAAGUAGAAGAAAGAGCACGAAAUCCAGACUGCGAUUUAAGUCAACAUCUCUGUCCAGUGGUUCUGAAGACGAUCACAUGCCUCCGCCCUCCUCAAGAAGCAAACAAUGCGCAUCUUGUAAGACCCAGAAAACCCCUUUAUGGAGGGACGCAGAGGACGGGACACCACUAUGUAACGCCUGUGGAAUCAGGUAUAAGAAAUACGGCUUGAGAUGUGGCCAAUGCUGGAAUAUCCCUAAAAAAGACGGGAAAUCGUGCUCCAAAUACUGUGGAUGCGGUGGGAUGUUCAGAGCUCCUGUAUGAAAUCGGGUAACUUUAUGUUUCGUCUGAGCCCAUUGGAACAUCCUGGCCAUUGUGUAAUAGAAAUUCAAGAAUAUGAAGACUCCCAUUACCCUUGAGAAGCGAUUUGUGUUCUCUCACUGCUGUUCUGCAUUUGUGUACAAAAAAAAAAAGAAAGUAACAUGAAAACAAAAAUAGUGAAUGAAAUGUUUCAUGUCCAUUAAUUCUAUUAAUAAAGUUAAUUUAUAUUGUUAUAGAUCGGUCGUCUUCUGUGCUGAUUUGGGUUAUUGAAAAUAUUGCAUUUUAAGGCUAUGUUCACAUGGAGGAAAUUCCACUCUGAAUUCCACUGAAGAAUUUCUCCCGAAAUUCGCCUAAAAUGUUACUGCCCAUUUACUUUAAUGGGAUUCUGCUGUCCCAUUUACACAUUCCUCAAAAUAUAAAGACUUGUCUUUAUUUUUGUGUAAAUCCAUGACGGAAUCCCAUUGAAGUCAAUGGGAUUUUGAAUUUCAGCAGAAUUCUGUGUUUUAAGAACGCAAAAUUCUGCUG